GACGAACGCUGGCGGCGCGCUUAACACAUGCAAGUCGAACGGAAAGGCCUGCUUUCCCUUGUGGAUUGCGGGUACUCGAGUGGCUAACGGGUGAGUAACACGUGAGUGAUCUGCCCCCAACUUGGGUAUAAGCCUGGGAAACUGGGUCUAAUUCCCGAUAGGACUGCAGGGUGGUGCCUGUGGUGGAAAACGAUUUUCUAGUGGUUGGGGAUGAGCUCGCGGCCUAUCAGCUUGUUGGUGGGGUAAUGGCCUACCAAGGCGGCGACGGGUAGCCGGCCUGAGAGGGUGGACGGCCACAUUGGGACUGAGAUACGGCCCAGACGCCUACGGGAGGCAGCAGUGGGGAAGAUUGCACAAUGGGCGGAAGCCUGAUGCAGCGACGCCGCGUGGGGGAUGACGGCCUUCGGGUGGUAAACUCCUUUCGACCGCGAGGAAGCCACCUGGUUGGAAGGGUGGUGACGGUAGUGGUAGAAGAAGCACCGGCUAACUACGUG
rnacentral:rRNA from 1 species